rnacentral:rRNA from 1 species
AGAGAAAGCAAAUGCGAUUCCCUGAGUAGCGGCGAGCGAAACGGGACCAGCCCAAACCAAGAGGCUUGCCUCUUGGGGUUGUAGGACACUCUGUACGGAGUUACAAAGGAACGAGGUAGAUGAAGAGGUCUGGAAAGGCCCGCCAUAGGAGGUAACAGCCCUGUAGUCAAAACUUCGUUCUCUCCUGAGUGGAUCCUGAGUACGGCGGAACACGUGAAAUUCCGUCGGAAUCCGGGAGGAC